AUUUAUGUUUUUUUUUUUAAUUAUUACUUUUGUAGAUUCUUUGCCAAAACAUAAUAUGGAUUCCCAGAAAGCACAAUACGAUGCUGGUCAAAUUUCGGGUCAAACUCGGGAGAAGACCAACAAAUUGAUAGAAAAGGCUGAUAAAAAUACCCAACAUGUAAAGGACAAUGUGCAACAGGGUGGUCAACAAAUGUUGGCUAAAGCACAUGGAGCCGCUGAAGGAGCCAAGGAUGCCACCGGCAUCAACAAAUAAACAACCACCUGUUCGGCUAACUCUAAACGUAUUUGUGUAACGACUUGAAUCUGUAUAACCUACUUGUAUAAUGACUUGUAUCUGUAUAAUGUAAAACAAAGUAAUAAUGUUAUGAUGUUUUUGAACAUUUAUGUAUUGAUAAAAGAAAUAACCCAAGUUGCAUUCAACAAAUUCAAUCAUACAUUACAGAAAAAAA